GGCGAAGCCACAGCAUGCGCAGGGAGGAAAUGAGUCUCAUUAUCGUCCUUAGCAGGACGUCCGCCUGAGUCAGCCGGAGAGCCCCCUUCUCCAUGACUCAGACCCUGCUGAUCACCGACUUCGACAAGUCUGCUCUUCAGCUUUUGCAAAGCAGCUGCCAGCUUAAAGUUUGUGUCGAAUCGGUUCUUCAUGGGUGAUAAGCAGAAAGACAUCCAUGAAGAAGCCGAAACAUUCUGGACAAACUGUCAACGAGGAACGCUCUGGGAUAACGGAGACGUGGGAUCAGCACUGCUGAUACAGUAGCAGGCUGUAUUUUUUUGGCAUCUGCAGGCAAGAGCGCACUGGCACUUCAGGAGAGCUGGGUGAGGCACAAGCCAGCUGUGAUUAAAAACCUCCAGAAAUU
rnacentral:lncRNA from 1 species